rnacentral:sRNA from 1 species
GCCGGGCGUGGUGGCUCACGCCUGUAAUCCAAGCACUUUGGAGGCCAAGGCUGGAGGAUCACCUGAGGUCAGGAGUUCAAAACCAGCCUGACCAACAUGGUGAAACCCUGUCUUUAAAAAAAAAAAAAAAAAUUGUUUUGGGGCCGGGCGCGUGGCUCUCGCUGUAAUCCCAGCAUGUUGAUAGGCCCAGGUGGGUGGAUUACCUGCAGUCAGUAGUUCAAGACCAGCCUGGCCAACAUGGUGAAACCCUGUCUCU